rnacentral:rRNA from 1 species
GAUGAACGCUGGCGGCGUGCCUAAUACAUGCAAGUCGAGCGAACAGACGAGGAGCUUGCUCCUCUGACGUUAGCGGCGGACGGGUGAGUAACACGUGGAUAACCUACCUAUAAGACUGGGAUAACUUCGGGAAACCGGAGCUAAUACCGGAUAACAUGUUGAACCGCAUGGUUCAACAGUGAAAGACGGUCUUGCUGUCACUUAUAGAUGGAUCCGCGCCGCAUUAGCUAGUUGGUAAGGUAACGGCUUACCAAGGCAACGAUGCGUAGCCGACCUGAGAGGGUGAUCGGCCACACUGGAACUGAGACACGGUCCAGACUCCUACGGGAGGCAGCAGUAGGGAAUCUUCCGCAAUGGGCGAAAGCCUGACGGAGCAACGCCGCGUGAGUGAAGAAGGUCUUCGGAUCGUAAAACGCUGUUAUUAGGGAAGAACAAAUGUGUAAGUAACGAUGCACGUCUUGACGGUACCUAAGCAGAAAGCCACGGCUAACUACGU